rnacentral:rRNA from 1 species
GACGAACGCUGGCGGCGUGCUUAACACAUGCAAGUCGAACGGUAAGGCCCCAGCUUGCUGGGGUACACGAGUGGCGAACGGGUGAGUAACACGUGGGUGACCUGCCCCGCACUUCGGGAUAAGCCUGGGAAACUGGGUCUAAUACCGGAUAGGACCGCACCGUGAGGGUGGGGUGGAAAGUUUUUCGGUGUGGGAUGGGCCCGCGGCCUAUCAGCUUGUUGGUGGGGUAAUGGCCUACCAAGGCGGCGACGGGUAGCCGGCCUGAGAGGGUGGACGGCCACAUUGGGACUGAGACACGGCCCAGACUCCUACGGGAGGCAGCAGUGGGGAAUAUUGCACAAUGGGCGGAAGCCUGAUGCAGCGACGCCGCGUGGGGGAUGACGGCCUUCGGGUUGUAAACUCCUUUCACCAUCGACGAAGGUUUUCUGACGGUAGAUGGAGAAGAAGCACCGGCUAACUACGUG